rnacentral:rRNA from 2 species
CCUGAGAAGUUAUUGGCCCACUUGGGAAUGGGACCCGGCCCAAAUUCCUACGGGAGGCAGCAGUAGGGAUCUUCCACAAUGGACGAAAGUCUGAUGGAGCAACGCCGCGUGAGUGAAGAAGGGUUUCGGCUCGUAAAACUCUGUUGUUAAAGAAGAACAUAUCUGAGAGUAACUGUUCAGGUAUUGACGGUAUUUAACCAGAAAGCCACGGCUAACUACGUGCCAGCAGCCGCGGUAAUACGUAGGUGGCAAGCGUUGUCCGGAUUUAUUGGGCGUAAAGCGAGCGCAGGCGGUUUUUUAAGUCUGAUGUGAAAGCCUUCGGCUCAACCGAAGAAGUGCAUCGGAAACUGGGAAACUUGAGUGCAGAAGAGGACAGUGGAACUCCAUGUGUAGCGGUGAAAUGCGUAGAUAUAUGGAAGAACACCAGUGGCGAAGGCGGCUGUCUGGUCUGUAACUGACGCUGAGGCUCGAAAGUAUGGGUAGCAAACAGGAUUAGAUACCCUGGUAGUCCAUACCGUAAACGAUGAAUGCUAAGUGUUGGAGGGUUUCCGCCCUUCAGUGCUGCAGCUAACGCAUUAAGCAUUCCGCCUGGGGAGUACGGCCGCAAGGCUGAAACUCAAAGGAAUUGACGGGGGCCCGCACAAGCGGUGGAGCAUGUGGUUUAAUUCGAAGCUACGCGAAGAACCUUACCAGGUCUUGACAUACUAUGCAAAUCUAAGAGAUUAGACGUUCCCUUCGGGGACAUGGAUACAGGUGGUGCAUGGUUGUCGUCAGCUCGUGUCGUGAGAUGUUGGGUUAAGUCCCGCAACGAGCGCAACCCUUAUUAUCAGUUGCCAGCAUUAAGUUGGGCACUCUGGUGAGACUGCCGGUGACAAACCGGAGGAAGGUGGGGAUGACGUCAAAUCAUCAUGCCCCUUAUGACCUGGGCUACACACGUGCUACAAUGGAUGGUACAACGAGUUGCGAACUCGCGAGAGUAAGCUAAUCUCUUAAAGCCAUUCUCAGUUCGGAUUGUAGGCUGCAACUCGCCUACAUGAAGUCGGAAUCGCUAGUAAUCGCGGAUCAGCAUGCCGCGGUGAAUACGUUCCCGGGCCUUGUACACACCGCCCGUCACACCAUGAGAGUUUGUAACACCCAAAGUCGGUGGGGUAACCUUUUAGGAACCAGCCGCCUAAG